rnacentral:rRNA from 1 species
AGCCUGCCCAGUGACAUAGUUUAACGGCCGCGGUACCCUGACCGUGCGAAGGUAGCAUAAUCACUUGUUCUUUAAAUAAGGACUCGUAUCAACGGCAUCACGAGGGUUACACUGUCUCCCCUCUCUAAUCAGUGAAACUGACUUCCCCGUGAAGAGGCGGGGAUAUAACUACAAGACGAGAAGACCCCAUGGAGCUUUAAACCCAGUAACAACCCCUAUCAACUUUACCUUAAAAAUUAACAGGCACUGUUCACUGGUUUUAGGUUGGGGUGACCAUGGAGUAAAACUAAACCUCCAAGACGAACGGUCUUAUCCUAAUCUAAGAGCUACUGCUCUAAGAAUCAAAAAUUUGACGUAAUAUGAUCCGGUAACCGAUCAACGAACCAAGUUACCCUGGGGAUAACAGCGCAAUCCAUUUCAAGAGCCCCUAUCGACAAAUGGGUUUACGACCUCGAUGUUGGAUCAGGGUAUCCCAGUGGUGCAGCCGCUACUAA